rnacentral:rRNA from 1 species
CGAGCACGCGCGUGUGGCAUAUCAAUAAGCGGAGGAAAAGAAACUAACAAGGAUUCCCUUAGUAACGGCGAGUGAAGCGGGAAGAGCUCAAAUUUGAAAUCUUCAAGGUUCUACCUUGACGAAUUGUAGUUUAUAGAAGUGUUUUCUGUUAGUAGAGUGGCAAAAGUUCUUUGGAAUAGGACAUCAUAGAGGGUGAGAAUCCCGUAUUUGGUCAUUCUUUCUAGCUUUGUGAUACACUUUCAAAGAGUCGGAUUGUUUGGGAAUGCAGUCCAAAAUGGGUGGUAAAUUUCAUCUAAAGCUAAAUAUUGGCGAGAGACCGAUAGCGAACAAGUACCGUGAGGGAAAGAUGAAAAGAACUUUGAAAAGAGAGUUAAACAGUACGUGAAAUUGUCAAAAGGGAAGCGUUUGACACCAGUGUUGUUUUUCCGAAAAUCAAUUACGAAUGUUUUAGUUUUUGAGGAGUUAUGACUUCAUCGGCUUGCUCCUUUCUUUAUGAAACUUUCUUAAUGCACUUUUCGGUUAACAAGUCAACAUCAAUUUCUUUUGUUGUAAAAGGGUAUGAGGAAGGUGGCUUUCUUUUCGGAGAAAGUGUUUAUAGCCUUGUGCCUCUGCAAUCGGAGAGAUUGAGGUCUGCAGCGUAGAUCCUUCGGGGUUAGAUACAGUUGGUGCUAAGUUAUAGCUUUUCAUAGACAACUUGUUGACUAUGUUUAGUCUUGUAGCUUACUCGCUGAUGCUAUUUUACCUACGCUUAGGAUGUUGAACUCUAUCACACACAG